CACACAGGGGCCAUUGUGACAUAUAUCCAGGCCAAUUGCCUAGGUGAAGUUUGUCUCCUUUCCUGCCUAAGCCCUGCCCACGGGGAAGAUUUAGAUAUAUCACUAAAACCAGCACCCAAGUGAUGUGACUCUUCACCAGAGUCCUGCCCACAAGGAGGAUUGUGACAUUUCACUGGACCAGCACCCACUCAGGAAUCAAAUCCGAGUUCGUCUACAGCUGAUUCGGCAGGUACCAGGGCGUCCGCGAUGGUGGUAUUGCUCCAUAUGCCUGAGACCCUAACAAAAGCCUAAUUACAACUCAUAUGCCUGGAGCCAGGACAUGUGCAGGAUGGUGAUGUAACUUUCCUCUCUGGAAUGGGUCCUGCACAAAGGAAUGAUAGUAACAUAUUGCAAAGCCAGACACACAGCCAUGAUGGUCCAAGUUAUAUUGGGAUUCAGCCAAUAGAAGAUAUUUUGCCUGUCAUCCCUAAGCUUAGGACAAUAGACUCUGCCAAGAGAGGGGAUUAUUACAUAUUGCAGAGCCCAGCACCUAGGUGGAGUGACUCUCAUCUUUUUCUUCUACCCCGUAUAUAGCCAGCUUGGUGACCUACUAUUUGAGUCUAUACCCAGGCCCAGACCACAGAUGAAAUUGUGCAAUAUGUGGAACAAACACCUAAACAAUAUAUAACACCUUCCUUGGCUCUGUCUACAAAGGGCACUUUUAUAUAUCACUGGGACCAUCAACCAGGUGAUGUUAAUUAUCUUCCUGAAACCUGUCUACAAAGAGAGUUGUGUCGUAUACCUAGGCCCGUCAUGUGAUGUUGUGCCAUAUAACUGAGACCGUAUCAAAAGCCUAAUAACAAGACGUAUGUCUGGAGCCCCGAUAUGCACAGGAUGGUUACAUGACUCUCCCCUCCUGCCUGUGCCCUGAUUCCUUGGUAACUACAGCAUUUCUGAGCACUGCAUCCAAAUGAUAUGACUGUCUUGCCUGGGCCCUGUCAACAGGAGGCAUUGUGACAUAUUUUGGGGCCCAUCAUUUAGGGGAUAAGACUCUCCUCUCCUGCUUGGACACUGCCCACAAGGGACAUUGUGCCACAGCGCUGGACCUAGCACACAAGUUAUGUGACGUUUCUGACAGGUCUGCCUAAAAAGAGGAUUUUGGAAUAUUUCUGGCCCAGCAUUUAGGUGAUGUGGCUGUCCUGCCUGCUUCAUAACCACAGAGGGGAUUGUAACAUAUGCCUAGGCACAGCUCACAGGCAUGAUAAUGACUCUUAUAUAUGGAUUCAGCCAAUAGAGGAUAUUUUGACUUUUAUAACCAGAUUUACAUACAUGCAUGAUGUCUUGGAUCACAUUCCUGUACAAAGGUCACAAAAGAUUACAACACUCACACAUAUUUUACAAAGUCUUUCGGUAAUACAGACAGAGCCAAAGCAGGGCUCAGCACACACGUGAAAUUGUUAGUCAUGUAUCCAGACCCAGCUGACAGUAAGGAUUGUCAUCAUUUCACAUGGAUGAAGCCAACUGUGACACAUGAAAACAGAACAAGUGUGGUAUUGUGAAUCUCAUCUUUGGAAUUUUCUGACAGUACGAUUGUGAUACAAAUUUUUUCCAAGCAACUGUGUAAUUUGACCCUACAGAGUUUUUCCAGCACAUAUAUGGGAUUGUGAUGUCUACCUAGGCCAAUCUCAAGGUGAUGUGACUCUCCUGCCUGGGCCCUUCUCUCAGUGAUAUAACCCUCUUCUCUGGAAUGGGCCCCACACAAAGGAAGGAUAGUGACAUAUUGCAAGCCCAGGCACACAGGCCCAGAGCACAGUUGAAAUUGUGACAUAUGUACACCAAGCAACCAAGCAAUGUAUAACACCUCAUUUGGCAAUGGAAUCGAGGGCACUUUUACAUAUCACUGAGACCAGCGCCCAGCUGAUGUGAAAUAUUGGCCUGAACCCUGCCUACAAAAGCAUUGUGGCUUUUAUCUAGCUCCAUUACAUAAGUGAUGUGACUUCCUUCUACUGCCUUGGCCCUGCACUUAUGGUGAAUCGUGACACAAAAUUGGGUAGAGCAACCAGCCUGGGCCCUGACCAGCACAGAGAUUGAGGCAUAUUGCUGAACCCAGGACCAAGAUGAAGUCACUCUCCUGCCUUGAUCCUGCACACAGGGACCCUUGUGACAUAUAUACAGGCCAAUUGCCUAGGUGAUGUUGUGCAAUAUACCUGAGACCAGAUCAAUGGCCUAAUAAUGACUCUUUUACCUAGAGCCAGGACAUGUGCAGGAUGGUAACUCUCAUCCCUGAACCUUUCCACAGGUGUUAUUGUCACAUAUACCUUUUCCAGCUCCAAAGUGAUUUAAUAAUCCAGCCUAGUUAUAGCCCACAGAUAAUAUUUGGACAUAUACCUGAGUCAAGAACCUUGGUGAUUUGA
ensembl:lncRNA LINC00293 long intergenic non-protein coding RNA 293